UUGUCCGCGUGGUACUCCCAGGGACGGCUGUGCUCGUGGCAACCCACGAGGGUGCCGCUGACGUACCUCCUGAAGGAGCACCUCUCACACGAAGAAAGUUGACAAAGCGGAUAGAAGGGGAAGAAAGGGAGAGAGAAAAAGAGAGAGGGAGAGGAAAGAGAGAUGAAAAUAAGGAGGAGGAGGAACAAAGAGAACGUACGCGGCAAAGGAGAAAUUAUCGAUACAUUACGGUGAUCACGAUCUGCCAUGCUUGCGCCUUCUUGCUUCGAGAGAUAGUCCGGGUCUUUUCCUUCUUUCUUUCGCGCCAACACUUGGACUUUUCGUCGUCCAGUCGCGGAACUCAAGAGACUCCUGGGAAUCUACAUGGAAGACGGACUCGGUGGGACCGAUCGUUUUUUCAACAGGUAUUUAACAAUAGCAGUGUAUAAAGAUAUAAGAACCUCACUAAGCCACGAGAAAAAGAUACAAGUAAAAAUACUCAUUUAAUGGAAAUUGAAGGAAAAAAUAUCCAGUUAUCAAUGGAUAAAUUACUGGAAAAACGAAAGAGAACGGAAGCAAAAAUAAUUUAAUUCACGGGUUACCGAGUCGUAUGAUCGAUUAUUGGCUGUUGGUUUACUACCCUCCUGAGAUCUCUCGCCCUUUUGACACAAUAUACGCGAAGAGUACCAGAUGCUCCCUCGUACGAUCGGGAAUUCAUGAUUCAUGGUCAAUUUAAAAGGAUAUGGGGAUGUGUGUGAAAACUGUGGACUGACAUUUCAACAACCGGAAACCGGAAGUCAGUAACAACAAACAGGAAGGAUUAUUACCGAUAUGCAAGUCGGUAACGCAGAGGUUGAUACACGAGUUUCAGGUGUAAUUUUGCAACACCCGAUAUAAAUGCAUUGGCUGCCGUCGGUAUCAAAGACUUACCUUUGUUCGUAAGUUACCAGGAACGGUGUUAUGUUGCGAUACGAGUCGGUAAAAUCGUAUUACAGUUUUCUACUAUUCUCUAAUAAAGUUUUAAAGCUUUAAAGCACAUAUCUUUUGUAGUUACAAGAGAGUGAAUGGUACAAAAAUGCAUAUAUUAAAUAUUAAGAAAGAUUUGUAUGUUUAAAAAAAAACUUGACUGUAUCGCUAAAACAUAACAACCGUAUAUUAAUGAUAAAUGUCGACAUAGUUAAUUAUAAUAAUAAUAUCUGAGUCUGAACUUAUAUAACAAAAUAAUUGUAAUAGAAUUGUAGUAGAAAGAUUAAUGUCUAAGAAAGACUUUCGCCUAUUUCGUGAUUAUGCACAAACAACUUAUAUACAUAUAUUUCCAUUUUCGAAUGUAAGAUA